UGGGGAAUAUUGGACAAUGGGCGGAAGCCUGAUCCAGCAAUGCCGCGUGAGUGAUGAAGGCCUUAGGGUUGUAAAGCUCUUUUACCCGGGAUGAUAAUGACAGUACCGGGAGAAUAAGCUCCGGCUAACUCCGUGCCAGCAGCCGCGGUAAUACGGAGGGAGCUAGCGUUAUUCGGAAUUACUGGGCGUAAAGCGCACGUAGGCGGCUUUGUAAGUUAGAGGUGAAAGCCUGGAGCUCAACUCCAGAAUUGCCUUUAAGACUGCAUCGCUUGAAUCCAGGAGAGGUGAGUGGAAUUCCGAGUGUAGAGGUGAAAUUCGUAGAUAUUCGGAAGAACACCAGUGGCGAAGGCGGCUCACUGGACUGGUAUUGACGCUGAGGUGCGAAAGCGUGGGGAGCAAACAGG
rnacentral:rRNA from 1 species